rnacentral:rRNA from 1 species
UUAAGCGACUAAGCGUACACGGUGGAUGCCCUGGCAGUCAGAGGCGAUGAAGGACGUGCUAAUCUGCGAUAAGCGUCGGUGAGGUGAUAUGAACCGUUAUAACCGGCGAUUUCCGAAUGGGGAAACCCAGUGUGUUUCGACACACUAUCAUUAACUGAAUCCAUAGGUUAAUGAGGCGAACCGGGGGAACUGAAACAUCUAAGUACCCCGAGGAAAAGAAAUCAACCGAGAUUCCCCCAGUAGCGGCGAGCGAACGGGGAGGAGCCCAGAGCCUGAAUCAGUGUGUGUGUUAGUGGAAGCGUCUGGAAAGGCGUGCGAUACAGGGUGACAGCCCCGUACACAAAAAUGCACAUAUUGUGAGCUCGAUGAGUAGGGCGGGACACGUGGUAUCCUGUCUGAAUAUGGGGGGACCAUCCUCCAAGGCUAAAUACUCCUGACUGACCGAUAGUGAACCAGUACCGUGAGGGAAAGGCGAAAAGAACCCCGGCGAGGGGAGUGAAAAAGAACCUGAAACCGUGUACGUACAAGCAGUGGGAGCCUCUUAAUGGGGUGACUGCGUACCUUUUGUAUAAUGGGUCAGCGACUUAUAUUCUGUAGCAAGGUUAACCGAAUAGGGGAGCCGAAGGGAAACCGAGUCUUAACUGGGCGUUAAGUUGCAGGGUAUAGACCCGAAACCCGGUGAUCUAGCCAUGGGCAGGUUGAAGGUUGGGUAACACUAACUGGAGGACCGAACCGACUAAUGUUGAAAAAUUAGCGGAUGACUUGUGGCUGGGGGUGAAAGGCCAAUCAAACCGGGAGAUAGCUGGUUCUCCCCGAAAGCUAUUUAGGUAGCGCCUCGUGAAUUCAUCUCCGGGGGUAGAGCACUGUUUCGGCAAGGGGGUCAUCCCGACUUACCAACCCGAUGCAAACUGCGAAUACCGGAGAAUGUUAUCACGGGAGACACACGGCGGGUGCUAACGUCCGUCGUGAAGAGGGAAACAACCCAGACCGCCAGCUAAGGUCCCAAAGUCAUGGUUAAGUGGGAAACGAUGUGGGAAGGCCCAGACAGCCAGGAUGUUGGCUUAGAAGCAGCCAUCAUUUAAAGAAAGCGUAAUAGCUCACUGGUCGAGUCGGCCUGCGCGGAAGAUGUAACGGGGCUAAACCAUGCACCGAAGCUGCGGCAGCGACACUAUGUGUUGUUGGGUAGGGGAGCGUUCUGUAAGCCUGUGAAGGUGGCCUGUGAGGGUUGCUGGAGGUAUCAGAAGUGCGAAUGCUGACAUAAGUAACGAUAAAGCGGGUGAAAAGCCCGCUCGCCGGAAGACCAAGGGUUCCUGUCCAACGUUAAUCGGGGCAGGGUGAGUCGACCCCUAAGGCGAGGCCGAAAGGCGUAGUCGAUGGGAAACAGGUUAAUAUUCCUGUACUUGGUGUUACUGCGAAGGGGGGACGGAGAAGGCUAUGUUGGCCGGGCGACGGUUGUCCCGGUUUAAGCGUGUAGGCUGGUUUUCCAGGCAAAUCCGGAAAACCAAGGCUGAGGCGUGAUGACGAGGCACUACGGUGCUGAAGCGACAAAUGCCCUGCUUCCAGGAAAAGCCUCUAAGCAUCAGGUAACAUCAAAUCGUACCCCAAACCGACACAGGUGGUCAGGUAGAGAAUACCAAGGCGCUUGAGAGAACUCGGGUGAAGGAACUAGGCAAAAUGGUGCCGUAACUUCGGGAGAAGGCACGCUGAUAUGUAGGUGAAGCGACUUGCUCGUGGAGCUGAAAUCAGUCGAAGAUACCAGCUGGCUGCAACUGUUUAUUAAAAACACAGCACUGUGCAAACACGAAAGUGGACGUAUACGGUGUGACGCCUGCCCGGUGCCGGAAGGUUAAUUGAUGGGGUUAGCGGUAACGCGAAGCUCUUGAUCGAAGCCCCGGUAAACGGCGGCCGUAACUAUAACGGUCCUAAGGUAGCGAAAUUCCUUGUCGGGUAAGUUCCGACCUGCACGAAUGGCGUAAUGAUGGCCAGGCUGUCUCCACCCGGGACUCAGUGAAAUUGAACUCGCUGUGAAGAUGCAGUGUACCCGCGGCAAGACGGAAAGACCCCGUGAACCUUUACUAUAGCUUGACACUGAACAUUGAGCCUUGAUGUGUAGGAUAGGUGGGAGGCUUUGAAGUGUGGACGCCAGUCUGCAUGGAGCCGACCUUGAAAUACCACCCUUUAAUGUUUGAUGUUCUAACGUUGGCCCGUAAUCCGGGUUGCGGACAGUGUCUGGUGGGUAGUUUGACUGGGGCGGUCUCCUCCUAAAGAGUAACGGAGGAGCACGAAGGUUGGCUAAUCCUGGUCGGACAUCAGGAGGUUAGUGCAAUGGCAUAAGCCAGCUUGACUGCGAGCGUGACGGCGCGAGCAGGUGCGAAAGCAGGUCAUAGUGAUCCGGUGGUUCUGAAUGGAAGGGCCAUCGCUCAACGGAUAAAAGGUACUCCGGGGAUAACAGGCUGAUACCGCCCAAGAGUUCAUAUCGACGGCGGUGUUUGGCACCUCGAUGUCGGCUCAUCACAUCCUGGGGCUGAAGUAGGUCCCAAGGGUAUGGCUGUUCGCCAUUUAAAGUGGUACGCGAGCUGGGUUUAGAACGUCGUGAGACAGUUCGGUCCCUAUCUGCCGUGGGCGCUGGAGAACUGAGGGGGGCUGCUCCUAGUACGAGAGGACCGGAGUGGACGCAUCACUGGUGUUCGGGUUGUCAUGCCAAUGGCACUGCCCGGUAGCUAAAUGCGGAAGAGAUAAGUGCUGAAAGCAUCUAAGCACGAAACUUGCCCCGAGAUGAGUUCUCCCUGAGACUUAGAGUCUCCUGAAGGAACGUUGAAGACGACGACGUUGAUAGGCCGGGUGUGUAAGCGCAGCGAUGCGUUGAGCUAACCGGUACUAAUGAACCGUGAGGCUUAACCUU